AUUGAACGCUGGCGGCAGGCUUAACACAUGCAAGUCGAGCGGGGGAAGGUAGCUUGCUACUGGACCUAGCGGCGGACGGGUGAGUAAUGCUUAGGAAUCUGCCUAUUAGUGGGGGACAACAUCUCGAAAGGGAUGCUAAUACCGCAUACGUCCUACGGGAGAAAGCAGGGGAUCUUCGGACCUUGCGCUAAUAGAUGAGCCUAAGUCGGAUUAGCUAGUUGGUGGGGUAAAGGCCUACCAAGGCGACGAUCUGUAGCGGGUCUGAGAGGAUGGUCCGCCACACUGGGACUGAGACACGGCCAAGACUCCUACGGGAGGCAGCAGUGGGGAAUAUUGGACAAUGGGGGGAACCCUGAUCCAGCCAUGCCGCGUGUGUGAAGAAGGCCUUAUGGUUGUAAAGCACUUUAAGCGAGGAGGAGGCUACUUUAGUUAAUACCUAGAGAUAGUGGACGUUACUCGCAGAAUAAGCACCGGCUAACUCUGUGCCAGCCGCCGCAGUAA
rnacentral:rRNA from 1 species